UACGUAGGGUGCGAGCGUUGUCCGGAAUUAUUGGGCGUAAAGGGCUCGUAGGCGGUUUGUCGCGUCGGGAGUGAAAUCCACUGGCUUAACUGGUGGCUUGCUUUCGAUACGGGCAGACUGGAGGUAUGCAGGGGAGAACGGAAUUCCUGGUGUAGCGGUGGAAUGCGCAGAUAUCAGGAGGAACACCCAUAGCGAAGGCAGCUUGCUGGGACGUUACUGACGCUAAGGCGCGAAAGCGUGGGGAGCGAACAGG
rnacentral:rRNA from 1 species